rnacentral:rRNA from 1 species
GACAGAGGGGGCAAGCGUUGCUCGGAAUCACUGGGCGUAAAGGGUCCGUAGGCGGGCCUGUAAGUCAGUGGUGAAAUCUUUCGGCUCAACCGGAAAAUUGCCAUUGAUACUGCAGGCCUUGAAUUAUUGGGAAGUAACUAGAAUAUGUAGUGUAGCGGUGAAAUGCUUAGAUAUUACAUGGAAUACCGAUUGCGAAGGCAGGUUACUAUCAAUAUAUUGACGCUGAUGGACGAAAGCGUGGGGAGCGAACAGG